rnacentral:lncRNA from 7 species
AUGAUUUUCCUCGUUCACCACUUGGUCUUGCUGGCCACAGACUUACUUCUCGCAACGAUCCUUUCUUGCCUCCUUUAUGCCUUUGCAUUCGUUUCCAUUGCUGUUUUUACCUGCUUCAUUAUCUUCUGGUCCUUCGGCGUCGUGGAGAAGAACAUUGACAUAAAAGGGAGAGCAAUUGUAAUUCUCGUAUCCAACAGCUCAAUUGGGAGGACGUUUGCUAGGAACUUGGAUAAAGCAGGUUUUAGGGUGUCUGCUGCACACUGGCCUCCUCAAGAGGAGGGAACAACUGCGAAAGAAGAGUGCUCUUCAAGAAUGGAGGUAGCACAGCUCCACAUGACAGAUGAUGAGUACCAGAAGACAAUGAAAACCUUCAUAGAAAGCCACUUAUCCCUGAAAGGGAAAGAGACUACUCUGGUGGCUGUGAAAGGCCCCAGUGGAACCCAGCCCCUGGAGGAAGGCAAGGUAGGCCAAGGAACAAGGGGAGAAGGUCCCACCAAGGCAGAGAGGGCUGGACUCAUCGUGGGGAGAAAACACAGGAAUGAAAAGGGGGUGCAGGCACUUGGACAAUGACCCAGGAUGAAGGCAAACGUCUGACUUUUAACCUCUUGUGGAUUAAAAAAAACCUGAGGUUUCUCUUGUCUCUCUGUGGGCUGUGGGAUUCAUAAGAAAUAGCCCAGUCAGAACUUUGGCUGGAAAGUUGGGACUAUCUGAAUCCCACAGCUGCCAUUUCUGUGAGAAAAUAGGACUGAGAGCAGCCAUAGAGCCCUGCUGGGACCGCAUAAGGCUAAUGUCCUACCAAGGAAACGUCCGUAAGCACUCCAUCUGGGGAACAUCACCUGUUCUUUUUAAGUGUGGGAUGAGGGGUUCUGGUAGGCAGGCUGCCUCUGGGCCUUGAUGAAUUAGCUCUGCUAUCCAGUAGCCCCUGUCCUCACAGAUGUUAGUUUUAUGCCACUUGGGAGUGACAGAAAAUUAAGCCUUCUCUGUCUGAGCUAUAAUCUCACUGCCCACAGGCCUGUGGGGUUACAAGGGAAGAGGCCAACUCCCUCCUCCACCGUACCUCCUAGCCAAGGUAUGUCUAAGCAGUGAAGCUGUCUCAGUGCUUCCCUGUACUGCCUCUUUCCUUCUCCAGCUUAUCCAUCCCUCUCCUCCUCACUCUUACUGUGGUUUCUCUGAGGCUCCUUUCGAGGACUCCCCAAGGCAGCUUCCCUGCACUCUAACACUGAGCCAGAAUCUCCAGGAGCAUUCUUCUCACACCCCUGAGAAAUGACAAGACCCUUUGCACUGCUGGCCAGCACUGGAAGUUUUCUUUGUGCUCUCAGGCUGUGCACAGGAAGGACAUGCUGUAUGUCAGAGUACACACCGUGAAGCCCCCCCUACUGCAGACACCCCACCAGAGACACGGUAGGGAACUCCAUCCAAUGCCCACAGCCAGCUGCAGCUGUUGAUGGCCCAGCAGCACAGGUUAUCUCCCAUUGCUUUUCUGCUCAGAAGCACACAGCAGACCAGAAGUGCCUGUGGUUGGAUCCUGUAAAAUCAUACUGGUAAAGCUUGCCUGCGUGGACAAGGCCUAAAAGCUCACAAAGCUGAGCAUCAGCUCCUGCUCUGGAAACCAACAACCGAGCUUUGUUAACCAGUAUAGUUCCAUGGGAGCUGGUGAUUUCCAUGGGCCUGUACUGCUUUAACUACACGGUGAUCUGCCCCAGUAAUAUCUUUCUCCAUUUGGGUUAUUUUGAUCCUGGUGCUGGGUAAAUAAAGGCUCUUUUAAGUCUUUUUUUUUUUUUUUUUAAAUGGGAAUCUUUAUCAUAGAAUCUGUGAGGUUUUACAUUUAGGGUCUCUUGCACUGUAUUCACUUCAUAGAUGUGGAUGUAUUAAAAUGUAUUUCCCAUGUGCUGACCCAAUUGCAUAGCACAUCAAAGGCCUGUGUCAGGAAUUUAAGGAAAACAAGAAAGAACAAGGCUUCAAACUUUUCCUAGUUUUCCUUGUUAACAGUUUCAAGUGAGUGCUGGUAUUUAUUCUGCAAGAUUUGAUGUAUAUAUUUGUUGUAUAUAUUUUUGGCACAAGUUUGGUGAAUAUGAACAUCUGCCUGUACCUGACUGGUAGUAAAACAAUUAAAACCAAACCAAAAGACUACACUGAUAGGUCUCUACUUACAGCAUGCACUUUGGUCAGCAGGAUCUGGACGAGACGGUAGUUGGUAUUGUGGGGCAAAGACAGGGAAGAACAAUUAUGCAACUCUCUCCUUUUCAAGAUUUCUUACACGCUUUAUUUGUAUACAACUAUUGGUUUCCAAAGAAAGGACUAUUCAUAUUUGGUUUUAUAAUAUAUAUUUUUAAAUAACUUGUCCCCAUGGGAAAUCUUAACCACUGUGGCUUGCUAGUGUAAAUAAAAAUACAUUUUUUAAUAUAAAUGCAGCUUUUUUAGUGCAAAAUGUGCCACAUCCAAAGUGACACAACAAAGACAGAAACCCCUAAUCACAGCUGCUCCUAGAACUGAAGGCUUUUAACAGCCAAAAUCAUCUAUUUGUUAUCCCAGUACAGCCUCAGAGAUCUAAAUUUCCAGGUAAGCAAACACCUUUCUUUUGAGGUUGCAGUAGCAAUGUUUAAGGCCUUAUUAGGUAUAAAGAGUUUGUACAAGUAGCAUAAGGAUAGAGAGAAAUGCAAACCAGCCCCCUUCCAAAUUUAUGAUGUAUGUUUUCUGAUAGCUUAACUUGGUUCAUAAGAAGCCUUAUAUUUUUCCAGCAUUUUAACUUUUGGUGCCUCCAGAUGUUUAUAUUUUCUAUGACUAGCAGGUCAGAGAGACAGGAGGGGAAAGAGGAGCGAAUGAGUCUUAAUUGCUCACCUCCAGGAGCUGGGCUUGUACUAUCAAACACUGAGAGAGCUCUUGGCAUUGCACCCAAGUGCUCAGGGAUCAAGCUGCUUGAGAAACUGCUGCGUCGUGUUGCUCUUCGGGCACGUUG